UUUUUUCCAUACUGUCUUCUAAGUCUGAACAGUCUGAACAGUCAGCUCUGUGAUUAUCAGCUAGACAACUGGACAUUCAGCUGCAGAUGAGGAAAACCCCUAACCAGUUGGCCAGCAAGCCCAUCAGCCACUCGGCCGGCCAGUCUGCUGUGCAGAGGGCCCUGCCAAUCAUCAUCUGGUUCUCCUCAUGUUGUUCUGCAGGAGUCUUUCCAUUGCAUAUGUGUCAUGAUGCCUCGAACCAACGCACAACACAAAAACAGCCAUCCUGUCUCGUCAUGGGUUUGUAAAGACUAUUAAUGUCAUGUGCCAGUCAGCCACAUCUGAAGAUAUACAGUAAGUCAUUUCAGUCCAUUAAUUAUUCAGAAUCAAC